UACGUAGGGGGCAAGCGUUGUCCGGAAUUAUUGGGCGUAAAGCGUGCGCAGGCGGUUGUACAAGACAGGGGGGAAAUCCCCGGGCUUAACCUGGGAACUGCACUUGUGACUGUACGACUGGAGUACGGCAGAGGGGGAUGGAAUUCCGCGUGUAGCAGUGAAAUGCGUAGAUAUGCGGAGGAACACCGAUGGCGAAGGCAAUCCCCUGGGCCUGUACUGACGCUCAUGCACGAAAGCCAGGGGAGCGAACGGG
rnacentral:rRNA from 1 species